AUGCUGGCUCAGAAUAUUCAAGAUAAGUCCAGCUACAAUCGAUUCCACAGGGACCAGGCUCCCGCCAUGAUAAGAAAUGGAAAUAUCAUAGAUCAUACAUUGUUUUACACAGAAAAUGGGUCAGACUUUGAUACUAGCAGGAUAUGCCAUCAAAUAAAAACACAUCAAAACGGCAAAUUGUCCUCAAAAAGAACUCUACUAAUUUGUAUGCUCAGUGAAUUCGAGUGUGUUAUUCUUAUGCUGAAUUUAAGUAUUUUCUCUUCAAAAGAGACAUUUGGAAUACGUAUGUAUGAGUAG
rnacentral:lncRNA from 1 species